rnacentral:rRNA from 1 species
UACGGAGGGGGCUAGCGUUGUUCGGAAUUACUGGGCGUAAAGCGCACGUAGGCGGCUUUGUAAGUUAGAGGUGAAAGCCCGGGGCUCAACCCCGGAAUUGCCUUUAAGACUGCAUCGCUUGAAUUGUGGAGAGGUAAGUGGAAUUCCGAGUGCAGAGGUGAAAUUCGUAGAUAUUCGGAAGAACACCAGUGGCGAAGGCGACUUACUGGGCACAUAUUGACGCUGAGGUGCGAAAGCGUGGGGAGCAAACAGG